rnacentral:rRNA from 1 species
AGCCUGACCCAGCAACGCCGCGUGAGGGAUGAAGUAUUUCGGUAUGUAAACCUCGAAAGAAUGGGAAGAAUAAAUGACGGUACCAUUUAUAAGCUCCGGCUAACUACGUGCCAGCAGCCGCGGUAAUACGUAGGGAGCAUGCGUUGUUCGGAUUUACUGGGCGUAAAGGGCGCGUAGGCGGCGCGGUAAGUCACUUGUGAAAUCUCUGAGCUUAACUCAGAACGGCCAAGUGAUACUGCUGUGCUAGAGUGCUGAAGAGGCAAACGGAAUUCUUGGUGUAGCGGUGAAAUGCGUAGAUAUCAAGAGGAACACCUGAGGCGAAGGCGGGUUGCUGGGCCGACACUGACGCUGAUGCUCGAAAGCCAGGGGAG